rnacentral:rRNA from 1 species
CUAACAAGGAUUCCCCUAGUAACUGCGAGUGAAGCGGGAAAAGCUCAAAUUUAAAAUCUGGCAGUCUUUGAUUGUCCGAGUUGUAAUCUGGAGAAGUGCUUUCCGCGCCGGACCAUGUAUAAGUCUCUUGGAAUAGAGCGUCAUAGAGGGUGAGAAUCCCGUCUUUGACAUGGACUCCCGGUGCUUUGCGAUGCGCUUUCAAAGAGUCGAGUUGUUUGGGAAUGCAGCUCAAAAUGGGUGGUAAAUUCCAUCUAAAGCUAAAUAUUGGCGAGAGACCGAUAGCGAACAAGUACCGUGAGGGAAAGAUGAAAAGCACUUUGGAAAGAGAGUUAAACAGUACGUGAAAUUGCUGAAAGGGAAACGCUUGAAGUCAGUCGCGUCAUUCAGAACUCAGCCUGGCUUUUGCUUGGUGCAUUUUCUGAGUGACGGGCCAGCAUCAAUUUUGACCGUCGGAUAAAGGCUGGAGAAAUGUGGCUCUUUCGGGAGUGUUAUAGUCUCUGGUUGCAUACGAUGGUUGGGAUUGAGGAACUCAGCAUGCCUCACGGUCGGGGUUCGCCCACGUUCAUGCUUAGGAUGCUGGCGUAAUGGCUUUAAACGACCCGUCUUGAAACACGGACCAAGGAGUCUAACAUGCCUGCGAGUGUUUGGGUGGAAAACCCGAGCGCGCAAUGAAAGUGAAAGUUGGGAUCUCUGUCGUGGAGAGCACCGACGCCCGGACCAGACCUUCUGUGACGGAUCCGCGGUAGAGCAUGUAUGUUGGGACCCGAAAGAUGGUGAACUAUGCCUGAAUAGGGUGAAGCCAGAGGAAACUCUGGUGGAGGCUCGUAGCGAUUCUGACGUGCAAAUCGAUCGUCAAAUUUGGGUAUAGGGGCGAAAGACUAAUCG